UACGUAGGGGGCAAGCGUUGUCCGGAUUCAUUGGGCGUAAAGAGCGUGUAGGCGGCCUGGAAGGUCAGCUGUGAAAACUCGAGGCUCAACCUCGAGACGUCGGUUGAAACCACUUGGCUAGAGUCCGGAAGAGGAGAGUGGAAUUCCCGGUGUAGCGGUGAAAUGCGCAGAUAUCGGGAAGAACACCUAUGGCGAAGGCAGCUCUCUGGGACGGUACUGACGCUGAGACGCGAAAGCGUGGGGAGCGAACAGG
rnacentral:rRNA from 1 species